rnacentral:rRNA from 1 species
AUUAAACGCUGGCGGCAUGCCUUACACAUGCAAGUCGAACGGCAGCACGGGGGGAACCCUGGUGGCGAGUGGCGAACGGGUGAGUAAAGCAUCGGAACGUGCCCUGGAGUGGGGGAUAACGUAGCGAAAGUUACGCUAAUACCGCAUAUUCUGUGAGCAGGAAAGCAGGGGAUCGCAAGACCUUGCGCUCUGGGAGCGGCCGAUGUCGGAUUAGCUAGUUGGUGGGGUAAAGGCCUACCAAGGCGACGAUCCGUAGCGGGUCUGAGAGGAUGAUCCGCCACACUGGGACUGAGACACGGCCCAGACUCCUACGGGAGGCAGCAGUGGGGAAUAUUGCGCAAUGGGGAAACCCUGACGCAGCCACGCCGCGUGAGUGAUGAAGGCCUUCGGGUUGUAAAGCGUCUGUCGGGAGGGACGAAGGGGAAACCCUGACGGUGCUCGCAGAAAGCACCGGCUAACUCUGUGCCAGCAGCCGCGGUAAU